rnacentral:rRNA from 1 species
ACCGCCUGAACUGAAACAUCUAAGUAGGGCGAGGAAGAGAAAUCAACCGAGAUUCCGCUAGUAGUGGCGAGCGAACGCGGAAGAGGCCAAACCGGAGGUAGCAAUAUUUCCGGGGUUAGGACUGCAAUAUGUAACUUUAAUCUUUAACUGAAUGCUUUGGGAAGAGCAGCGAAACAGGGUGACAGCCCCGUAAGUGAAAGAGAUUGAGUGCUAGCAGUAUCCAGAGUACCAGCGGACACGUGAAACCCGCUGGGAAGAUGGGGGGACCAUCCUCCAAGCCUAAAUACUACUCAGUGACCGAUAGUGGAGCAGUACCGUGAGGGAAAGGUGAAAAGUACCCCGGGAGGGGAGUGAAAGAGAACCUGAAACCUUGUGCCUACAAGCACCGAGAGCACGUUAAAGUGUGAUCGGGUACUUUUUGUAGAACGGUCCGGCGAGUUAAUAUUUGCAGCGAGGUUAAGUAACUGGAGUUACGGAGCCGCAGCGAGAGCGAGUCUGAAUAGGGCGUAUGAAGUUGCAGGUAUUAGACCCGAAACCGGGUGACCUAUCCAUGAGCAGGCUGAAGCGGUGGUAAGACACCGUGGAGGGCCGCACCCACGUCUGUUGAAAAAGCCGGGGAUGACUUGUGGAUAGCGGAGAAAUUCCAAUCGAACUCGGAGAUAGCUGGUUCUCCCCGAAAUAGCUUUAGGGCUAGCGUUAUUUUAGAUUACCGGAGGUAAAGCACUGAAUGGUCUAGGGGCCGCGAGGUUACCAAAGCCUAUCAAACUCUGAAUGCCGGAUAAUUGAUGAAUAGCAGUCAGACUGUGUGAGAUAAGUCUCAUAGUCAAAAGGGAAACAGCCCAGAUCUACAGCUAAGGUCCCAAAUGAACACUAAGUGGAAAAUGAUGUGAAACUGCGAAGACAACCAGGAUGUUGGCUUAGAAGCAGCCACUCAUUCAAAGAGUGCGUAAUAGCUCACUGGUCGAGUGGUUUUGCGCAGAAAAUGUAACGGGGCUAAGUGUUCAACCGAAGCUUAGGCAUUGCAGUAAUGCAUUGGGUAGGGGAGCGUCGUAUGCGGGGCGAAGUCAGAGCGGAAGCACUGGUGGACUGCAUACGAGUGAGAAUGCCGGAAUAAGUAGCGAGAAUUAUGUGAGAAUCAUAAUGGCCGAAAAUCUAAGGUUUCCUGGGGAAGGUUCGUCCGCCCAGGGUUAGUCGGGAGCUAAGCUCAGGCCGAAAGGCGUAGGCGAUGCACAUACGGUAGAAAUUCCGUAACCACCGAACUUUAAGCUAGAGGGACGCUUUCUUUAAGGUUAUCCCGGGCGAUGGUUGCCCCGGGCGUAAGGGACCGAAAUUUAGUAGGGAAGUAACUGGCGAGAGAGACGAGAAAAGCUCUAGUGUAUACUAAGGUGCCCGUACCGCAAACCGACACAGGUAGAAGGGAUGAGUAUUCUAAGGCCAACGGGAGAAGGGUUGUUAAGGAACUCGGCAAAUUGGCCCCGUAACUUCGGGAUAAGGGGCGCCUGCGAGAGCAGGCCGCAGUGAAAAGGCCCAAGCGACUGUUUAGCAAAAACACAGCUCUCUGCUAAAUCGAAAGAUGACGUAUAGGGGGUGACGCCUGCCCGGUGCUGGAAGGUUAAGGGGAGUGCUUAGCGCAAGCGAAGGUGCGAACUUAAGCCCCAGUAAACGGCGGCCGUAACUAUAACGGUCCUAAGGUAGCGAAAUUCCUUGUCAGGUAAGUUCUGACCCGCACGAAUGGCGUAACGAUUUGGGCACUGUCUCAACAGCCCGCCCGGCGAAAUUGUAGUACCGGUGAAGAUGCCGGUUUCCCGCAACUAGACGGAAAGACCCCAUGGAGCUUCACUGUAGCUUGAUAUUGGACUUCGGUAUUCCAUGUACAGGAUAGGUGGGAGGCUAGGAAGCGAGCGCGCCAGCGUUCGUGGAGCCGUCCUUGGGAUACCACUCUUGGGAUAUUGGAGUUCUAACCUGCGACCAUGAAUCUGGUCGGGGGACAUUGUCAGGUGGGCAGUUUGACUGGGGCGGUCGCCUCCAAAAGAGUAACGGAGGCGCUCAAAGGUUCGUUCAGCACGGACGGAAAUCGUGCACUGAGUGUAAACGCAUAAACGAGCCUAACUGCGAGAAUGACGGUUCGAGCAGUAACGAAAGUUGGAGUUAGUGA